rnacentral:rRNA from 1 species
UACGAAGGGGGGCUAGCGUUGCUCGGAAUCACUGGGCGUAAAGGGCGCGUAGGCGGCCGUUCAAGUCGGGGGUGAAAGCCUGUGGCUCAACCACAGAAUGGCCCUCGAUACUGGAUGGCUCGAGACCGGAAGAGGUUGGUGGAACUGCGAGUGUAGAGGUGAAAUUCGUAGAUAUUCGGAAGAACACCAGUGGCGAAGGCGGCUCACUGGUCCGGUACUGACGCUGAGGCACGAAAGCUAGGGGAGCAAACGGG